CGGACGGCUCAGUAACACGUGGCUAACCUACCCUCGGGUGGGGGAUAACCUCGGGAAACUGAGGAUAAUACCCCAUAGGAGAAGAGGUCUGGAAUGAUCCUUCUCUGAAAACAUAUGUGCCCGAGGAUGGGGCUGCGUCUGAUUAGGUAGUUGGUGGGGUAACGGCCCACCAAGCCUACGAUCAGUACGGGCCUUGAGAGAGGCAGCCCGGAGAUGGGGACUGAGACACGGCCCCAGGCCCUACGGGGCGCAGCAGGCGCGAAACCUCCGCAAUGCACGAAAGUGCGACGGGGGGACCCCAAGUGCUUACGCACUGCGUAGGCUUUUCUAAAGUGUAAAAAGCUUUAGGAAUAAGGGCUGGGCAAGUCCGGUGCCAGCAGCCGCGGUAACACCGGCGGCCCGAGUGGUGACCACUUUUAUUGGGCCUAAAGCGUCCGUAGCCGGUCCAGUAAGUCCCUGUUUAAAUCCUACGGCUUAACCGUAGGGCUGGCAGGGAUACUGCUGGACUUGGGACCGGGAGAGGGCGAGGGUACUUCAGGGGUAGCGGUGAGAUGUGUUGAUCCCUGGAGGACCACCUAUGGCGAAGGCACUCGCCUGGAA
rnacentral:rRNA from 1 species